rnacentral:rRNA from 1 species
UGGGGAAUAUUGGGCAAUGGGGGAAACCCUGACCCAGCAACGCCGCGUGAAGGAAGAAGGCUUUCGGGUUGUAAACUUCUUUGACGAGGGACGAAAAAAAUGACGGUACCUCGAAAACAAGCCACGGCUAACUACGUGCCAGCAGCCGCGGUAAUACGUAGGUGGCAAGCGUUGUCCGGAUUUACUGGGUGUAAAGGGCGCGUAGGCGGGACUGCAAGUCAGAUGUGAAAUGUGGGGGCUUAACCCUCAAGCUGCAUUUGAAACUGUGGUUCUUGAGUAUCGGAGAGGCAGGCGGAAUUCCUAGUGUAGCGGUGAAAUGCGUAGAUAUUAGGAGGAACACCAGUGGCGAAGGCGGCCUGCUGGACGACAACUGACGCUGAGGCGCGAAAGCGUGGGGAGCAAACAGG